GAUGAACGCUAGCGGCAGGCCUAAUACAUGCAAGUCGAGCGGAAUAUAGUUUUCGGAUUAUAUUUAGUGGCGCACGGGUGAGUAACACGUACAUAACUUACCCUCAAGAGGGGGAUAGCCUUGGGAAACUGAGCGUAAUACCCCAUAGUAUUAUUGAACGGCAUCGUUUGAUAAUUAAAGCUACGGCGCUUGAGGAUAGAUGUGCGUCUGAUUAGCUAGUUGGUAAGGUAACGGCUUACCAAGGCGACGAUCAGUAGGGGGCGUGAGAGCGUGGCCCCCCCACACGGGUACUGAGACACGGACCCAACUCCUACGGGAGGCAGCAGUAAGGAAUAUUGGACAAUGGACGAAAGUCUGAUCCAGCCAUGCCGCGUGAAGGACGAAGGCGCUCAGCGUUGUAAACUUCUUUUGGAUGGGGACAAACCACUCGAUUUAUCGGGUGCUGAGGGUACCAUCAGAAUAAGCACCGGCUAACUCCGUG
rnacentral:rRNA from 1 species